AUGAAACUUUUUAUCCGCGUAACCCAAAGGAAGCGCUUAACGUGUCUUAUACAACUCUCCCAGGGCUGGACGAAGAAGGCGGAGUGGAUCCAUUGUCCGGCCCCGCUGCCUGAAGAACCGGCCGUCCCACUUCUGACGAAGAUGCUGGUCCCGGCGCCUUACAGGGUGCCGAAGAAGAUGGCCGAGAAGGAGGCCAAGAAGACCCGGGGCGGCCUUCGUCGCCGCGGCACUUCGGACACAAUAUCCGAAGGCUCUGAUGCCCAUUCCGCCUCCGAGGAGGAGGAAGAUGAAUCCCCUGCGGGGGGAAGAAAGAAGAGGACGGCCUCCGUACACUUGGAGGCCGAGCCGCCCAAAAGGGGAAAGGCUCCUCUUCCGGAGGAGUCCACUGCCGCCGCCGACAGCGGCCCGGCGUGGGAUCCCAGGGCCCAGCCCCUAGUGAACUCGUAA
rnacentral:rRNA from 1 species